rnacentral:misc_RNA from 1 species
CGCACCUUGCGCUCCUUGGUAUUCCGAGGAGCAUGCCUGUUUGAGUGUCAUUAAAUUCUCAACCUUUCCAUUUUGUAAUGAAAUGCUGAAAGGCUUGGAUUGUGGAGGUUUUGCGGGCUCUUGUAGUCGGCUCCUCUGAAAUGCAUUAGCGGAGACUUGUAGACUUUCUCCUUGGUGUGAUAAUUAUCUACGCCUUGGUUGUUUACAUCAUACUCUGCUCUCUAAUCGUCUUGUAACGAGACAAUUAUCAUAUCUUGACCUCAAAUCAGGUAGGAUUACCCGCUGAACUUAA